AACUCUUUUACAUCUAUCACCGCAACCUGAAGUAUAGAUGUCCAAUGCAGUACCUCACUAAAAGGGGCUUUAACUUACAAGACCUCUUGUCAGUUGGUGGUGGAUU
rnacentral:sRNA from 1 species